CAUUUACAAAACUAAGUUUUCCUUUCCCACUCAGGGCAAGUGAAACUGCACGAGACUAAGGUAGAUAGUUGAAUCCAUUCAACAAAAUGGAACACAAACACUGAUUGGUAUUAACCUCAGUGUCUGAGAAGUUUGAAGGGGAAAUAUAGGAGGUAUCACCCUCAAUAUUUACUGGAUCUUCUUCCGCCAUGGCUUAAGAUUAAAGGUGUGAAACAACGGUGAUGAAUUGGCCAGAGACAAGUUACAAAUAAAACUGCUCUAAUACCAUGUUACUUGCCUAGUUUAAAGUGUAUUGUAUUUCAUAAGGAGAAUGCAUGUACAAGGACACAUAUGUAGGAAAGAAAGAAAAGGUUACAAGCAACCCUAGAGACCGGGUAAACCUAGAACCCAUACUCUUCCUUAAUUUAAGGUGAUUCACACCAAACACAAGACUAAGAAGUAAAAACAAGUGAAAGAUCUUAAAUCAAGGAGAAGAGGUAACGCUGGCAUUGAUAAUGAGUAGCCAUGAUAAUUACUUGGAGACUUAUGAUAUGGGAUGAUACGCUAGAGUGCUAGGGAUUCAUUUAUGGACCAAAGACUUCUAUACUUCAACAUCUAUGGAUCAAAGACUUAGUCUUCAACAUUUAUGGACCAAAGACUUUUAUACUUCAACGGAAAACCACCACCACCUUUACCAUUUUCUGUCAAAAUUUUAACUAGAAAUUGUUCGAAAUGUGCCCUAAGGCCAAUCAUAUGAUGAUACUUUACGAGCAUUUCACAUGUUAAACUAAUCUAGUUUAAUAUAAAAAAGCAAAGAUUAUUGUUUAAAGCUGUCUCAUAUAAAUGUUAUAUGCUUAAACGAUUAAGUCCAAGGAAUUUGUAAUUAGGAGAAUGUGAUCUAAAGAAGUUAGAUUCAUGAGACCAUUCUCUUCUGUAUACAUAUCAUAAACGUUCUUGAUCAUAGGAUUACUAAUUGGGCAUUGACAGUCCAUUAAGAUCAGUACGUGCUAUGUCUUCUCUUAGAGAGAGUGACUGGUCUCGAGUCAUUGGUGUGACUGACAACAAGACAAGCAUGUAGAUGCUCAAUAGAGAAUGAGUCCACUGAACGCAAUCAACGAGAAGUUCUCAUACUCGCUCAAUAGAGAAUGGGUCCACUGAACGCAAUCAACGAGAAGUUCUCAUACUCAUGUCACAUGAGAACUCAUGGUUAGGAUAAUGAAAAGUAGUCCUUUGACCUGAGGCAUCAUAGUUGUCUUAUGGUUAAGUCCUUGAUCUUUGACUAUAUCAAAGUCACUCCGUCAAAGGGUGUCCACGACAUAGUUGGGGUUAAGCCACUUACCCAUGGAGGCAAGUGAAUGCAUAACAAGGGAUUUCUAACCUUCAAACCGUUUGAGGGAGAAUACUCUAUGAUAUGAUUAAGAAUCUCUAGCCAGAGUAUGAAUAAGAUUUAGGAAUUCGUUCCAAAUCACAUUCAAGGUAAUCAUAUAAGUAAGAGAAUCACAUUGGAUAAUAGACAUGAAUAAACUAUCAAACCAAACAAUGUGGUCAAGAGUAUUGGAUUAGAGAAAUACCAUAUUGCAUUGUAAUCCUAAACUGAAUAAGUUCUCCACCUCUUCUGAUUAGCUUGGGUAGCCAUGUCCCUCAUGGUUUGUGGAAGCCCUAAAGGCGUAUAAUCACUAAAGGGAGAAUCAAAAGUAAGUUUCAAUUCACAAUCGAUUUGAAGAGUUCU
rnacentral:lncRNA from 1 species